rnacentral:lncRNA from 1 species
GCUUUUGUCGUUAUUUCUGUGUUUUAUUGACUUACUGAAUCUCACUAGUGUAACGAAUGUAAAGAAAAUCAGGAAAUCCAAAGGUGGUCUGUGGAAAAUCUUUAUCAUUGGAAAUCAAAUGAAGAAAACAAUUAUGAGAAAAGAGGCAAGAAUAUCACCAUGACAAUCACUGAAGUGAUGUGCAUGUGACCAGCAAGACAAAGCAGCCCCAUUGCAUUAUGCUUGGAAGACAAGACUGAAAGAAACCUUGAGAUUUUGGAUUGGAGAUCAGCCAGAUCAGUUGUGUGCACAAAGAUACCUUGGAUCUGUCUUUUAAAUCAGCAAUUCCAUCCACAGAAUGGUACAGCAAGGUUGAAGCAUCAUUCCAUCUGGGAAAAUUACCUGCUAGAAGAGGAAGUUGAUUUUCUUUGAAAGUAUAGCCCCUGGUAAGACACUCAUACACCAGUUAGC